rnacentral:rRNA from 1 species
GACGAACGCUGGCGGCGUGCCUAAUACAUGCAAGUCGAGCGAAGCGGCGGUUGGGUGAGUAACGCCUGGGUAACCUGCCCUUAAGUCUGGGAUACCAUUUGGAAACAGAUGCUAAUACCGGAUACUAAAGGAUGGACCUGCGAUGCAUUAGCUAGUUGGUAGGGUAACGGCUUACCAAGGCGAUGAUCCAUAGCUGGGUUUAGAGAAUGACCGGCCACACUGGGACUGAGACACGGCCCAAACUCCUACGGGAGGCAGCAGUAGGGAAUAUUCCACAAUGGACGAAAGUCUGAUGGAGCAAUGCCGCGUGAGUGAAGAAGGUUUUCGGAUCGUAAAGCUCUGUUGUUGGUGAAGCGGUAAUCAACCAGAAAGUAACGGCUAACUACGUGCCAGCAGCCGCGGUAAUAC